UACUAAUGCAACUGCGAAUAGCUGUUUAAUACAGUCGUAAUUGUAUUGACUUAGUAUAAUGUUAAUAAUAGUUAUUUAUAGGAUAACUAAGGGAAAGUUUGGCUAAUACGUUUUAACAGUAUUAUAAUUCUUAAUACACAUAUAAUAAUAUUAUAAUAUGAUAAAUAUUAUAUAAAUAUUUUAAUACAUUUAUUUGUAUUAAUAUAUAGAGUUGACUUUAUAAUAUUUAUUUAUUAUAAAGCAUGUCAAACAAGCAUCUAUAGCAUCAAGUCACAAUGUUGGCAUGUGUAUUAUUGAACCUUCAAAGCAUUUACGCAUUCGGAGGAGUAGUUUCUGAUCCCGUCGAAGGUGCCUGAGAGACGGCACUUAGUUCUAAGGAACGCAGCAGGCGCGUAAAUUGCCCAAUGACAAAACAUGUUAUAAUAAAAUAUAUAAUGUAUAUAUAUUGAAUACUCAAUAUUUANAUUGAGGCAGUGACAAGCUGUAAAGAUUGAAUAUAUUAAUUAAGAUAACAUUUGGAAUUGUCGUUUUAUAAUAUUUUUUAAUAUUAUAUUACUUGAUAAUAUACCAAUGUUAUAAAAUAUUCAAUUUGAAUGCGGUGAAUGUAAUAAUUUCAAGUAACAUGUAUAAAAUAUUUAUAUUUUAUUAGUUAUCUGAAUUUUCAAGUGGAGGGCAAGUCUGGUGCCAGCAGCCGCGGUAAUACCAGCUCCACUAGCUUAUACAAUCAUUGUUGCGGUUAAGAGGCUCGUAGUUGGAUUGAAUAAAACAUAUAUACACAAUACUGUGAACAAACCAGAGUGUAUAAAACAUGUAAUAUAUUAUAUAUUUAGCAAUGAAUGUUUUAUCAUGGAAUAUUGCUAUAAUGAAUAUUAAUAUCGAUGGAGAUAGUUGGAGUUAAGAGUACUGAUAGGCGAGCGGUGAAAUGCAUUGACCCUAUUAAGACUAACAAAAGCGAAAGCACUUAACUAGAUUAUUCUCUUUGUAUUAUUUUACAAUGAAGAGCGAAGGUUGGGGGAACAAAGAGGAUCAGAUACCCUCGUAGUCCUAUUUUUACAUCAAACUAUGGGAUUUCAUUCACACUAAACACUAAACAUUAUAAUUAUAAUUAUGAUUGAGUAUAUGUCAAAAUAUUACUCUCAUAUUAAAUAAUUAUUAUAUAUAUGAUUAUAUGUACUUUGAGCUCAUAUAAUUAUAUAGGUGAGAUGUAAGCAUUAUAAAGUGAAUAAUAUACAAGUAAUAUUGUAUUAUUAUGAUCUUUAAAAUAAAAAAUGUAAUGUGAUGCACGUUUUAGGUACGAGCUUACUAUAGAAAUAUUUAAAAUAAUACCCUCCUGGGGUAGUAUGCACGCAANNNNNNAACUUGAAGGAAUUGACGGAAGGGCACCACAAGAACGCGUGGAGCAUGUGGCUUAAUUUGACUCAACCCGGGAAAUCUUACCAGGUCCAGACAUAUUGAGGAUUGACAGGCGAUAGUAUAUAAUUCAUUUAUAUGCAUAAAAAUGAUAGUCCUUUCAUGAUUAUAUGAUAGGUGGUGCAUGGCCGUUCUUAGUUCGUGGAGUGAUUUGUCUGCUUAAUUGCGUUUCAGUAAAUAAAAUAUAUAAUAUAUUAUAAUAUUUAGUUCUGCCUUGAAUAUUAUUCAAGGAUUUAAAGUGAACAUAUUAUAUAUAUUAUUAUAUAAUAAAUGAAUGC
rnacentral:rRNA from 1 species